GACGAACGCUGGCGGCGUGCCUAACACAUGCAAGUCGAGCGAGUGAAUCUCCUUCGGGAGUGAAGCUAGCGGCGGACGGGUGAGUAACACGUGGGCAACCUGCCUCAUAGAGGGGAAUAGCCUUCCGAAAGGAAGAUUAAUACCGCAUAAGAUUGUAGCUUCGCAUGAAGUAGCAAUUAAAGGAGCAAUCCGCUAUGAGAUGGGCCCGCGGCGCAUUAGCUAGUUGGUGAGGUAACGGCUCACCAAGGCGACGAUGCGUAGCCGACCUGAGAGGGUGAUCGGCCACAUUGGGACUGAGACACGGCCCAGACUCCUACGGGAGGCAGCAGUGGGGAAUAUUGCACAAUGGGGGAAACCCUGAUGCAGCAACGCCGCGUGAGUGAUGACGGC
rnacentral:rRNA from 1 species